AAAGUAACGGGUGGACGGAUGGGCUAGGAUGCAAUUCUCGCGGAUGACAGGAGCUUGCUCCUUGAUUCUCCGGUUGACGGGUGAGCCAUGCCUAGGGAUCUGCCUGGGGGGGGGGGACAACGUUUCGAAAGGAACGCUAUUACCCCCUACCUCCUGCGGGAGAAAGCGGGGGACCUUCGGGCCUUGCGCUAUUUUAUGAGCCUAGGUCGGAUUAGCUAGUUGGUGGGGUAAUGGCUCACCAAGGCGACGAUCCGUAACUGGUCUGAGAGGAUGAUCAGUCACACUGGAACUGAGACACGGUCCAGACUCCUACGGGAGGCAGCAGUGGGGAAUAUUGGACAAUGGGCGAAAGCCUGAUCCAGCCAUGCCGCGUGUGUGAAGAAGGUCUUCGGAUUGUAAAGCACUUUAAGUUGGGAGGAAGGGCAGUAAGUUAAUACCUUGCUGUUUUGACGUUACCGACAGAAUAAGCACCGGCUAACUCUGUGCCAGCAGCCGCGGUAAUACAGAGGGUGCAAGCGUUAAUCGGAAUUACUGGGCGUAAAGCGCGCGUAGGUGGUUUUGUUAAGUUGGAUGUGAAAGCCCCGGGCUCAACCUGGGAACUGCAUCCAAAACUGGCAAGCUAGAGUACGGUAGAAGGGUGGUGGAAUUUCCUGUGUAGCGGUGAAAUGCGUAAUAUAGGAGGGAACACCAGUGGCGGAGGCGACCACCUGGACUGAUACUGACCCUGAGGUGCGAAGCUUGGGAGCAACAGGAUUAAAUACCCUGGUAGUCCCCCCGUAACGAUGUCACUAGCGGUGGAAUCCUUGAAUUUUAGUGCGCAACUAACGAUUAAUU
rnacentral:rRNA from 1 species